rnacentral:sRNA from 1 species
GAGUCAGAGAGACCUGGGUUCAAUUCCCAGCUCCUCCACUAAAAAAUGGGGUGGCCUCAGACAAGUCGCUUAUUCUCCCCAAGCCUCAGUUUCUACAUCUGUAAAAUGGGAGACUAAAGUAUGUAAGGCACUUCUAUAGGAACUCAGUGAGUGUUUUCUCCUUCCCUCCUUACUGCACGCUUCUCCUCAGGCUCUAUUUGACUUCACUGGAAACAGCAAACUGGAGCUGAAUUUCAAAGCAGGAGAUGUGAUCUUCCUCCUCAGUCGGAUCAACAAAGACUGGCUGGAGGGCACUGUCCGGGGAGCCACAGGCAUCUUCCCUCUCUCCUUCGUGAAGAUCCUCAAAGACUUCCCUGAGGAGGACGACCCCACCAACUGGCUGCGUUGCUACUACUACGAAGACACCAUCAGCACCAUCAAGUUUGUGGCCUGGGAGGGAGGGGCCUGUCCAGCCUUCCUGCCAUCCCUACCACCACCACCCCUCACAUCACCCUCUCAUGGGUCCCUCUCCCACUCCAAAGCCCCCAGUGGCUCCCAGAUGAGCCACAAUGCUGUAACAAACCAUCAACGUCUAGGGUGGCCUGGCCAGCCUCAUUCCCCUUUCCCCCACCCCAUGCCCCACUUCCAGCCUGAUGCCUCCUUACUCCAGCCUGUCGCCCCCUUAGGGACAUCGCGGUGGAGGAAGAUCUUAGCAGCACUCCCCUAUUGAAAGACCUGCUGGAGCUCACUAGGCGGGAGUUCCAGAGGGAGGACAUCACUCUGAAUUACCGGGACGCUGAGGGGGAUCUGGUUCGGCUGCUGUCGGAUGAGGACGUGGCACUCAUGGUGCGGCAGGCUCGCAGCCUCCCCUCCCAGAAGCGCCUCUUCC